CUUCCUCUCUCUACACUGGCUGAUGAUAUUCCUCACCUCACCUGUCUCUUUGCUCAGCAGCCCAAUAGGAGCACUUUCUCCCUCCUCUGUGUGGGGUAAGGGGUGGGGGCAGGGUCCACCUGGCAUUGGCGGGAGGGGCAAGUCACGUGGCUGGGGUAGGGGCGGGGCAGGACUGGGAUGGCACUCCAUCUCUAAAAGGUUUGCCAUCACUGGCCUAGCCCUUACUGCUCUUUUGCAAAUUUUUUUAAACCUUUACUUCCCCCUUAGAACUAAAAAGUAAUAAGGACAAAAGCUUUAUUCUUUAAACUUGUGAAAAGUCUAGUUCGUGUAUGUAUGUGUAUCCACAUACGGCUAGGCAUAUAUUGGGUGUGUACAUAAAUGUAUAUAGGUACUGUCUGUGUGUAUUUAGUCCUAUAUGACACUUCAGGACUCCACUGGGGCUUUUGGCAAGGCUAUCGGCGGUUUGCCGUUGCCUUCUCGAGCUCAUUUUACAAACAGGAUUAAAUGCCUUGCUCCGAAUCACGCAGCUAGUAAGUGUCUGAGUCCGAAUUUGAACUCGGGUCUCUUCCUGGCUCCAAGCCCUGCUGUGCCACCGCGGUGCCCUUCAUCUGUACUGUGUACCCGUGUACUCAGACAUGUGGGUGUUCCUGAUCCUGGUCCUCAAAUCAACCACCUGUCUGAAAGGGAAUUUUAAAAUAACAAAUGAGAACUAAUUCAAAUUGGGCCGCUCUGUGUCCCUUCCACCAGUUUAAAUGAUGCCGUUCUCAGCCUCAUUCAUUCCGGCUAGGUCCGCUGCUUCCCCAUCUUCUUUAUUUUUUGCUGACCUCUCGGAGGCACGGAGCUGUGCACGGAACGAGGGGCUGUGCUUUCGGGGCAGGGAUACGCUUGGAGACCCCGCAGGCACCAGCCCAGACGCGUUUACCCGGGGAACGAGCGCGCCCCGCGUAACGGAGCUGUCCACUCGACUGAUUCCGAACGUGGUGGGAGAAGAUCCGAAGGGAAAGCCGAGCCAAAGGAGGUCAGGCUUCUUCCGGGGCAUCCUGGGAAUUGUAGUCCCCAGUGUGCCAGGGAUUCCACGCCCCGGGAAGAACUUGACUACGGUCCCCGAAAGCCUCCAGGCUUUCAGCUGGUGGGAGCAGCACUUCCUGAAACAGCUCGGGCUCAGCGGGAACCGACGCCGCAGCAGCAAUCCAGGCAGCCGCGGCAGAAACCGCGGCAGCUGCCCAGGGCGAUCUCCUCUCUUUGGGCCACUGCGGGACCCAGGCCGUGGGAGGCCCGUUUGGAGGAGAGCCAUUCCGACGCCGCAGAUCUUUUGGAAAACCCAAAUCUUGCCUCAGCCUCCAAGAAGCUAGAUAUAGAGAUAGAUAUAAAUGUCCAGUUCAUCUCAUCUGUUCAUGUAGAUUUACUACAAUUUCUCCCCAUUUGACAAAGGCAUUUUUAAACUUCCCAGGCAAACCUCCAACG
rnacentral:lncRNA from 1 species